GCGAAGGUGGCGGAAUUGGUAGACGCGCUAGCUUCAGGUGUUAGUNNUAGUGUCCUUACGGACGUGGGGGUUCAAGUCCCCCCCCUCGCACCA
rnacentral:tRNA from 1 species